rnacentral:rRNA from 1 species
AGUUUGAUCAUGGCUCAGAUUGAACGCUGGCGGCAUGCUUUACACAUGCAAGUCGAAGUGGUAACAGGCCUUCGGGUGCUGACGAGUGGCGAACGGGUGAGUAAUGCAUCGGAACGUGCCCAAUCGUGGGGGAUAACGUAGCGAAAGUUACGCUAAUACCGCAUAAGCCCUGAGGGGGAAAGCAGGGGAUCGCAAGACCUUGCGCGAAUGGAGCGGCCGAUGUCAGAUUAGCUAGUUGGUGGGGUAAAGGCCUACCAAGGCGACGAUCUGUAGCGGGUCUGAGAGGAUGAUCCGCCACACUGGGACUGAGACACGGCCCAGACUCCUACGGGAGGCAGCAGUGGGGAAUUUUGGACAAUGGGCGCAAGCCUGAUCCAGCCAUGCCGCGUGCGGGACGAAGGCCUUCGGGUUGUAAACCGCUUUCAGCCGGAAAGAAAUCGCCAAGGCUAAUAUCCUUGGUGGAUGACGGUACCGGAAGAAGAAGCACCGGCUAACUACGUG